UUUUUUUAAUCCUCACCCGAGAAUAUUUUUUUCCCAUUGAUUUUUAGAGAGAGUGGAAGCAAGGGGGAGAGACAGAAAGAAACAUUGAUGUGAGACACAUUGAUUGGUUGCCUCCUGCACACUCCUGGACCCUUGCUGAGGAUCGAGCUUGCAAAGGACGUUCGUGCCCUUGACCAGAAUAGAACUGUGACCCUCAGUCUGAGGGCCAAUGCUCUAACCACUGGGAAACCGGCUAGGGCUAAAGGUAUCUCCUGCUCUUUGAAAGUUCAUGUUAUGCUGCUUCGUUUUUAUGAAAGACCUAUAUUAUCUGUUUUUACCAAAUGAAAGAAAUCUGAAGAGGAUUUUCAUUUUUAUGAAAACGUCAAAAAGCAAAAAGUGUGUUCACUGUUUAUUUUGCAGCGUGCACUCCGAGCAGCAAGAGUGGCACCACCCAUCUCCCUCCUGAGGACCGACACCCAGGAUCUCAGCGCCAGGCACCAGAGCUUCGAGCUGUGUCUGAAAGAAAAAACACAAAGAAAUCACCUGCAGUUUUCAUAUUGUUCUACAAAGGCUUGGAUUUUACCAAAUGACCUGGAAGUCUGGGUGGGCUGGGCCAUGGCCUCUCUAUCCUCACUUCAGUCAACAUAGUUUCACUGCUUCCCAUUUUAUAUAUUACAAUCUAACACUUAUGUCAAAACGGGUUUUGCUGCAGAAAAACAAACGAAGGAUGAGAAACAGAAGAAUGGGGACCCACACUUACCUGUGCACACAGCCUCCUGAGUUUUAACUAUUCCUGGGAAAGUCAUCUUGUUGGAGCGCUUCCUUGCCGCUGUUUGGUCAGUUGGUCCAGGAAUUGGCAGGUGGGGAGCUGGCCCGCCAGUCUUGUCACUGCUCGUUCUGCUGGCUCUCUGUGACGGAAGCAGACACGGAACCCUGGCCCUUGUUGACAUCACUGAUGCACACCCACUGCCCGUCGACUGACUCCUUCCACAGGGUCACCUGCAAGCCAGCACACACACAGGCAGGUGCAGUUCUUCCGGAGGGAGGAGAGCACUAGGAUGACAUCCAUCCAGCACCACAAGAGGGGCUUGCAGGUGAACCUGUGGGGUCAACCACUGGGAAUCCGAUUGUAACGGAGAAGGGGCUUCCAACAACCAGCACUCAGAUCUUCGCAGACGUAGUUCCUACCUGCAGAAUCUGGCUAGUCCCAGGGCACAGUCUGACCAGGGAACUUGGUGAGUGCAGAUCGCCUAAUUCAGGUCCCCAAACCAGAGUUCUGCCUACUUUUGUAAGUCACAGCCCUCCCUACCUGCUGCAGGAAGAGCCGGCAAGAACACCUCGAAUCCACAAGUCCCACCAACUGUAUAGCUGAGAGGAAGGCGGGCAGGCAGAGCUGAUUACCUCCAGCGCAAAGCCAGUGGCCCCGUUCGGCCAUGUCAUCCGUUGGGGCAUGCACUGGCUUAGGUCAAAGCCAUAAAGAACAUUAGUGGCCUUAGAGCUGCUUUUCCUGCUGAGCCCAGGAAAGAAACUAAUUUGUAACCACACUUACUGCUGAAAACAGCCUUCAGACCAGGGACCCUUCCCAGAGCACAUGCGAAGCGGUGUAUUCCAUCAAAUAUCCCUGCUGCUAGGGGCACUGGAACAGAAAGCACAGACUAUGGCUGUUCCUGUCUCCAGAGCAAAACAAGUGACCUCACCUGACCACGAUAUUCAGUGCACUCUUGCCUGAUUGGGGUCCCCAAAUGAGCUCUGGGUGCUGUCCCACCAAAGCAGGGAAGCUAAUUCACAGCCCCACCUACUGCUGAGUAGAAUACUCAGUCCUGACCAUGCAGUAAGUUUGACCAGGCAACUGUGAAGUUCAUUCUAUAGACUCAGUAGGGCAGGAAACCAAGCCAGCAAUUGUAUCUAGCUGUUCUCAGCCAAUAGCACCCCCUACCUCAGUGUUCAAACAGCUGCCUCACCCAAAGAUAUAUCCUAACAGCAAAGGGUCUAUCUUUGCUAUUAGGACCUCAUCUGUCCAAAGAUAUUACUAACAGACACGUCCAGAAAACCAAACUGAACCUGUAAAGCCUGGAAGAGGAGACCACACUCCAGUGUGCAGGUACCAAGGAUCAUGAAAAACCAGGUAAAUAUGACACCACCAAAGGAAACUAAUCAAGCUCUAGUACCUGACACUAAAGAAAUGGAGAUGUAUGAACUAUCAGAUAAAGAAUUCAGAGUAAUCCUUUUGAAGUUUAGUGAACUACAGGAUAAAUGAGAUUAGUUAAAACAAUGCAUGAAUAACACGAACUUUGGCAAAGCAAUAGAAACCAUCAAAAAAUAAAAACUCAAAUCCUAGAACUUAAAAAUUCAGAAACUAAACUUAAGAAUUCCAAAGCAGCCUCAACAGUGUACAAGAAAGAACUAUGAUCUGGAAGAUAGGACAUUUGAAAGUAUCCAGUCAGAAGAACAAAAGAAUGAAGAAGAGUAUAGAAAGCCUACAGGAAUUAUGGGACCUAAUGAACCAACCCCCACAAAAAAACCCCACCACCAAUAUAGUAGCCCCCCAUCCAUAAGGGAUAUGUUCCAUGACUCCUCUAGUAGAUGCCUGAAACGUGGAUAGUAGUACUGAACCCUAUACAUUAUACCUACGACAAAGUUUAAUUUAUAAACAAGGCACAGUAAGAGAGAGUAACAAUAAUAAAAUAGAACAAUUGUAAACAAUAUACUAUAAUAAAAGUUAUGUAAUAUGGUCUCUUUUUCAAAGUUAUCUUACUGUACUACACUCUUCCUUUAUUUAAAGAAAGCACGUUAUGGCUUCUCUUUGGCAUAACUGAAUUGCCAGCAUCACUACUCUUGUGCUUUGGGGCCAUUAAGUACAAAAAGGGUUACCUGAACAUAAGCACUGUGCUAUCGCAAUAGUCACUAUGACUAUGACAAUGACAUAGAUAUGCUGGAUAAAGGGAUAAUUCAUGACGAGAGAGAAUCAUUGAUUGGCUGCCUCCUGCACGUCCCACACUGGGGAUUGAGCCCACAAACUGGGCAUGUGCCCUGACUGGCAAUCGAACCGUGACCUCCUGGUUCAUAAGUCAAUGCUCAACCACUGAGCCACACCAGUGGGCUAGAAAUAUCUUUAACUUUCAAGAAAAUUGGAAUUAACUCAAACAGUAAUAAAAUAUGAAGUUAACAUCCUUAUGUAAACUUAAAGGGCAGUAAGAUUUAAGGAUAUAAUUAGGACACAUGCUCAAAAUGCAGGCUUCAUUAACUGCAUUUUCCAGUGGGUAAAGACAAAUGGGGCCCUGUCCCCAGAAAUGCUGUGUACCUUAUUAUCUCCACCCGAGACGGCCAGAAUGUUGGCUGUGAUGGACCAACUCACGUGCCACACAACAUCAUUGAACUUGUGCAGUAGUUUGGGAGACCACGUAUUGCUUGAGGCAUCGUCACAGGUCCAAACGAACACACGACCAUCCUGGGAAGACAGGAGAGUCAGGAGAUGGGGCAGUUUUCAUGUCUUCAAAGUCACUUUCUUGUUUCAGUUCCCUCUGCUGUCUAUACUUUCUCAACUGAAUGGGUCUGGCUGCCUAAAAACCAAGUUCAGAGAAUGAGAAGGGAGAAAAAAAAAACAAAAAACCUCUCAAAAA